rnacentral:rRNA from 1 species
CAAUAGCGUAUAUUAAAGUUGUUGCAGUUAAAAAGCUCGUAGUUGGAGUUCAGAGUGAGCUCAGCUGGUCGGCCUAAUGGGUCAGAACUGGUUGACUCUCUCUUGUUUGUGGGUCUCGCCCGGAGUUAACUCUUCGGAUGUGGAUCCCACAUCGUUUACCUUGAAAAAAUUAGAGUGUUCAAAGCAGGCGUUUGCUUGAAUAUAUUAGCAUGGAAUAAUGGAAUAGGACGCUGGUUCUAUUUUGUUGGUUUUGAGAACCAGAGUAAUGAUUAAUAGGGACAGUUGGGGGCAUUCAUAUUUCAUUGUCAGAGGUGAAAUUCUUGGAUUUAUGAAAGAUGAACUUCUGCGAAAGCAUUUGCCAAGGAUGUUUUCAUUAAUCAAGAACGAAAGUUAGGGGGAUCGAAAGACGUAGUAGUACUAACGGUACUUACCGGUACGUACGUAGGACCCUAAGGGGCCCAAACGGACCAACGGGG